rnacentral:rRNA from 1 species
UAACCUGCCCAAGAGAUCGGGAUAACACCUGGAAACAGAUGCUAAUACCGGAUAACAACAGAUGAUGCCUAUCAACUGUUUAAAAGAUGGUUCUGCUAUCACUCUUGGAUGGACCUGCGGUGCAUUAGCUAGUUGGUAGGGUAACGGCCUGCCAAGGCGAUGAUGCAUAGCCGAGUUUAGAUACUGAUCGGCCACAUUGGGACUGAGACACGGCCCAAACUCCUACGGGAGGCAGCAGCC